CCCUUAGAUGUCCCGGGCUGCACGCGCGCUACACUGAUGUGUCCAGUAAGCACCUAACCUAUUCCGAGAGGAGCGGGUAACCUUAGCAAAGCACAUCGUGAUGGGGAUAGAUUAUUGCAAUUAUUAGUCUUGAACGAGGAAUUCCUAGUAAGCACAAGUCAUCAGCUUGUGUUGAUUACGUCCCUGCCCUUUGUACACACCGCCCGUCGCUCCUACCGAUUGAAUGUUCCGGUGAGCUCUUCGGACUGCGCGGUCUGCAGUUUCUGCGUUCCGUGCGGAAAGUUGUGCAAACCUUAACAUUUAGAGGAAGGAGAAGUCGUAACA
rnacentral:rRNA from 1 species